AAUUCCGUUCGCGCACUCUCUACAUUGAGGUCAGGCAUCGGUUGAUUCACUGUAAGACGUUGCGCAAUUUCAAAAUGGCGGACAAAGAUAACUGAUGCUGCAUGUGAAAAGAAGAUAUGAAACAAAAGCCCGUGAGAAAAUGUCAACAUGAAUCAUUUAUGAAUGAAGAUGGAGUCUCUAGCCUAAAAUUUCUUGAGAUAAUCAGUGUUGCCUGGUUCAUCCAAUGAAUCAGAAUGAUCACUCCAUUUGCAGACUAUCAGGUUCCAAUCUGAAGUAUACAAGGGAAGAGUAAAAUCUUUUUCAUUCCUAUUUACAAACACUUCUUAGAUCCAGAAGAAUAUCC